UACGAAGGGGGCUAGCGUUGUUCGGAUUUACUGGGCGUAAAGGGCGCGUAGGCGGCGCCGCAAGUCGACUGUGAAAUCUCCGGGCUUAACCCGGAAAGGUCAGCCGAUACUGCGGGGCUAGAGUGCAGAAGGGGCAACUGGAAUUCUCGGUGUAGCGGUGAAAUGCGUAGAUAUCGAGAGGAACACCUGCGGCGAAGGCGGGUUGCUGGGCUGACACUGACGCUGAUGCGCGAAAGCUAGGGGAGCGAACGGG
rnacentral:rRNA from 1 species